AGAAUGGAGGAAGAGAGGAGAGGAGUGCCCAAGUCCUGGUGCUUCCCUUCCCAGCCCAAGGCCACAUAAACCCAAUGCUUCAAUUUGCCGAUCUGCCGAUCACCUAGCUAGCAAGGGCCUCAAGGCCACCCUUGUGAUUGCCCACGACCAUGGCCUCCAAGGAGCUGCCUUCAUAACGCAGCCUCUUGCAGUGUGCUUGAUAUAUUGCCAUUACAGCCGCAGUCUACGGAUAAAUCCCGGCAUCUGCCUUUCUAUUCCCGGAAUGCCACCACUGGGCUUACGAGACCUCCCCUCGUACAUCAACCAACCUGAGAGCAUCCCAGGAAGAGUGAGCAUAGGGAUCGCAGUGUCUUGGUCCCCGAAGAUGAUCGGGUUUGCACUCACAUUAACCUAUGGUAGAAAAACAAGAGCCACCAGGACAGGAGAUGAACAAUGUGACCCUGCAGACUGCCUCAGUUGGCUAGAUGAGAGGCCGGACAGCUCAGUUGUGUAUGUCUCAUUUGGAAGCUUGGCGGCUUUACCCACAGAGCAAAUGGAGGAGGUAGCCGAUGCCUUGCGUUCAAGCAAGCGGCCAUUCCUAUGGGUGGUGAAGGCCCCAUAUGCACACCAAAAGGGCGGAAACUCACUACCCGAGGGCUUCAUGGAGGCCACAUCAAAGCAAGGGUUGGUAGUGCCAUGGUGCCCUCAGCUCGAUAUCCUGGCUCAUAGAGCGGUAGGUUGUUUUGUGACUCAUUGCGGGUGGAACUCAAUACUGGAGGCGCUGAGCCAAGGGGUGCCAAUGGUUGCAGUUCCCCAGUGGAGCGACCAGCAGACCAACUCGAAGUUUGUUUCGGAUGUCUGGAAGACGGGUAUGCAUGUCGAGAUUAGCAACAAGGGAUUUGUUCUCAGAGGAGAGCUGGAGAGAUUCAUAAGGGAGGUCAUGGAAGGGGAAAGAGGGGCUCACAUAAGGGAGAAUUCUCAGGUGGAGAGACCUGGUUAGGGAGGCUUGUGCAGAGGGAGGCAGUUCUGAUAAUAACAUCAAAGAAUAUGUCACCAAUAUUUCCAUUCAUGAAGGUGAUGCCAACAUGUGA